rnacentral:tRNA from 1 species
CGGGAUGUAGCGCAGUCUGGGAGCGCACCUGAAUGGGGUUCAGGGGGUCGAAGGUUCAAAUCCUUUCAUCACGACCA